UAGGAUAUUUGAUAAUGAUGGACAGGGGCACUUUCAAAAUUGCUAAUAAAAUGGCUUUGCUUUGGGAAUGUUCUGACUUGCUACAGCUCACUAGCGCCUAAAAAAAAGCAUAACCAUGAGUUUAAUUACGUGUGUGUGUGUGUGUGUGCGCGCGCAUACACAUUCAUAUUGUGUGUGAGAAGGGAAGGAAGAACAAUUUUUACAUCACUGGUAGAGGUGUGCAAGCAAAUUAGAAGGACUUUUAAGAAUAGCUGGUUGGUAAUGCAUGGAUACCUUUCCACUGAAUGACAGACAACUUUUUUUUUUUUUUGCCAGCCCUACCAGCAAGAGUGGCCCCCUUUGCCCAGCUGUGUCCCAUAAGGGGAUGUAAUGAGCAGUCAUUUAUGCGGCAGAAGAUAUGUCUGGCUUGAGAGCUUUGAGGUGCUACCAUGUCCUGAUCCAGCCUCCUGUUGGGGGAUGAACCAGAACUGGACACCCAUCUUCCCCACCAUGGGCGAUAUUAGCUGAGAACUACUUCAGACAGCUGCUACAUGAAAUACUGAACA
rnacentral:lncRNA from 1 species